AUUGAACGCUGGCGGCAGGCCUAACACAUGCAAGUCGAGCGAGCGGCGGACGGGUGAGUAAUGUCUGGGAAACUGCCUGAUGGAGGGGGAUAACUACUGGAAACGGUAGCGAAUACCGCAUACCAUCAGAUGUGCCCAGGUGGGAUUAGCUAGUAGGUGGGGGAACGGCUCACCUAGGCGACGAUCCCUAGCUGGUCUGAGAGGAUGACCAGCCACACUGGAACUGAGCCACGGUCCGGGCGCCUACGGAAGGCAGCAGUGGGGGAUAUUGCACAAUGGGCGCAAGCCUGAUGCAGCCAUGCCGCGUGUGUUAAGAAGGCCUUCGGGUUGUAAAGCACUUUCAGCGGGGAGGCAUUACCCGCAGAAGAAGCACCGGCUAACUCCGUGCCAGCAGCCGCGGUAAUUC
rnacentral:rRNA from 1 species